UCAGAAUUACAGUUGCAAUACAAGUCUCGGCCCGCUCAGUCGUCUCUCCUUCCGCGCCUCCGCGACAAUGGUGGCAGCGGCGGUCGAGGGGACUUGUGCCCCUCACCACGGACCCCAGCCUCUACAUCUGCACUGACAUCGCAGACUGGUUAGUCCGUGCUCCGUGACAGUGUAUCGCCCCUACGUCGCGUCAUCGACUAGGGAGCUGACCAUCCUGGACUCGUCAUCGUCCAGCAGCACCGUCUCCAGUGAGUAGCUCUGCCCGGCAAUACCAUCUGCCCUGCGGCAACGUCAUCAGCUGCCCUGGACUACUACGGAGCCCGCUGACAGCGCACGGCUCAUCAGCCCGCGCCGUCCUCCUCAGCAUCAUCGAGUGAUGGACACCACCUCGCUGAAGGACUCAAGCUCGGAGGAGAGAAGAUAAAACAAAAACUUCAACGCUAAAUUCAAGACAAAUUGGCACCGAAAUCAAGAAAAUUCACCCAUUAUGAACUUUUGCUGUAUUUUCGUCAAAAAGUGACAGUGAAAUUGUGCUGUGAAAUUUGUUUUAACUUCGAUGUGUUUCAAAAACCGUACUGUUUCAUUAUCCGUUUUCGUCAGUGUUCUGUCGUUUGUUGUGCUUCAUUGUGGUUGCUCACCCCAAAAUUUACGGAGAAAUUGCAAAUGCGCUUAAUUUUUGCCUGCAUUUUGCAGUGUCACUUUGACACUAAUAAGCAUAAAAAGAGCAUAUUCUGAAGUCGGUAUGAACAUUCAAAUACGUUAAUCGUCGUCAAUUCACUGAAUUUAUAUUGUGUUGAUAUUCGGCCAGAGAUGCCGAGGGCCAUGGAGAUGCCCAGGGACGGUCCCCGCCAAGAGUGCGGAGGGAUCGCCCGGUAGUAGGUGUAAUUGUCACGAAACUUACUUAUCUGUUCAUACCAUUUUGUGAUACGCUCAUAUGGAAAUUUCUUUCUCCGUCAGCUAAACGUUUCCUCUCUUUGUUAUGAUCGCUUCGGUUCCCUACGCUUCCCUGGGGGAGGGAAGAUAAUGUGGGACCGAUUCCCUUCUUCCAUAUCAUGAUAAAGAGAGUACACGUUCAAGCUUUGUUACAUAGAAAUAGCCGUCACUUUCCCCACGUGUCGGCACCGUCCACCGACCCGGCGGGUCGGCGGACCGGUCCUUCAUUGUGCAACCACCCUGCAUAUAACGCACAGGCACUGGCGAAUCAGAAUCAGAACCACAGUUGGAAUACAAGUCUCGGCCCGCUCA